GCCAGGUAUAGUUUUCUCUCCAUAGAUUUGCCGCUGCUCCUUUCUUCUUUCUUUUCCGUUCUUCCUCCCAUCCUGUUUUCUCCCUUAUUUCCUUCUGCUACCUUAUCUUUCGUCUUCCCUCCUCUUCAACAUCAUCUUGCCUCCCUUCCCUCUCCCUUUUCGAAACAGAACGGAAAAAAGGUAGAAGGACACGAGGUAGGAGAAUUGAAUCUAUCCCCAACUAUUUGAAAGAGAUGACCAGUGGGAUGCUGCUUGUGGAUUUCUCAGUAUCUGAUCUCAUCAAUUUUUUGGGUUUUCUUUUAUAGUGGUGCUGCAAUUGGACAUUUCUUUGGUUCUUUUCCCUUACACGUUUGUCUCAUCAAUUUAUUGGAAGCGGUUUAGGUUGUUAUGUGAUAAUGUAAUGAGUUUACAUUUGUUUAGAUUGAGAUUGAUUUUCGGAUGAAUUUCAUGUUCAAGAUGGAAAAAAUCUACUUGAUUACGUGGCUGAACAUAUUCAAUAGCUCCAGUAGCUAUUAGCUGUUGAGGAGUUAGGUCUAUCUUUGCAAAUGCUAAUAUCAUCAAAGAAUGGAAGCAAGAGGUAGAGCAAUACCAAAGAAAAAUUCAGUUGUAAGCAAGUUCUUUACAAUAUAUCGUACAUUUGGACUUGGGUGACUAUUUUUGUUAAGUGGUUAGACUGGUUUGUUUUAUAUAAAUAUAAUAGGAGCAACAUUGAUAGUUUGAUCACAGGAAGUUUCAAAGUAUGCUUGAUUGUUCCCUUGAGGAAAGCACGACUCCAACGAUAGUAUUGCCGAAUGGGAGCAAAAUUUAUGUCUUCGAAAUGAUAAAAAAGAAUUUCCAUCAAAACCGGAAUUUGUGGCUGAUCAUUCUCUUGAAGAAGGCGUAAUACUUGUUUUUCUUCCUCCAUCCAGCAAUUCUUUUGCUGCUGUUGUCUUUAACAAAAAGGAAUUGAAAAUAUGUAUCUAUGGCAUUAUAAAAUUUGUAAUUUGAUUGUGGUUAGCACAUGUUGCUUUCUUGUGAACCUCUUCUCCAUUAAGUUAUUUUAUUGUUAGUUCUUCCUUAGCUA